rnacentral:lncRNA from 1 species
CCUCAUGAGGCAGAUGAGGUCAUGGAUGACAUCAGGAGGAGUGUGAGGUGUCCAGGCCCGCCACAUGUCACACAUGCAAGCAAAAGAGGUGUCCUGCUCCGCCACGUGUCACGCAUGCAGCAAAAGAGGUGUCCUGCUCCGCCACGUGUCACGCAUGCAAAGGGGUGAGGUGGCCUGGAGGGCGAUCAGGAUGUGGGUCCCACAUACAGUAUGUGGGUCCCACCUAAGCAGGACAUGGGUCCCACAUACAGUAUGUGGGU